rnacentral:rRNA from 1 species
CCUACGGGGGGCAGCAGUAGGGAAUAUUGCUCAAUGGGGGAAACCCUGAAGCAGCAACGCCGCGUGGAGGAUGAAGGUUUUCGGAUUGUAAACUCCUUUUGUUAGAGAAGAUAAUGACGGUAUCUAACGAAUAAGCACCGGCUAACUCCGUGCCAGCAGCCGCGGUAAUACGGAGGGUGCAAGCGUUACCCGGAAUCACUGGGCGUAAAGAGCGCGUAGGCGGGAUAGCAAGUCAGAUGUGAAAUGCUACGGCUUAACCAUAGAACUGCAUUUGAAACUGUUAUUCUAGAGUAUGGGAGAGGUAGGUGGAAUUCGUGGUGUAGGGGUAAAAUCCGUAGAGAUCAAGAGGAAUACUCAUUGCGAAGGC